AACGCACAUUGCGCCUCUCUCCGAGGGGCAUGCCUGUCUGAGCGUCAUUUAAACCAAUGGACCAGUUCCGUGUUGGGCCUCGCCUAAGGGCGUCGCCUCAAGGUUAUUAGUCUAAGAGCGGACGAGUUCCUUUUGGACAGACCGUUCGAUGGCAAUAUAUUUCUGAAUUGACCUCAGAUCAGGUAGGAAUACCGCCUGAACUUAA
rnacentral:misc_RNA from 1 species